rnacentral:RNase_P_RNA from 1 species
GAGAUAAUCGCUGUACUUUUUAGAAGUGUAGAGGAAAGUCCAUGCUCACACAAACUGUGAUGUUUGUAGUGUUCGUGCUUAGUGAAGACAUAAGCUAAGGCAAAGUUAGAUUUGACGGCAACGAAAUAACCUAAGGUAAAAUACUAUGGUCGAGUAGUUAUAAAGUGCCACAGAGACGAGCGUUUUACGAAAGUGAAACGAUGAAACGUUGGUAAACCCCGCGAGUGAGAAACCCAAAAUUUGGUAGGGGAGUCCGCCUCAAAGGAACUCAGAACGGCGAGGGGAUUAGUAGAAAUACUAAAGAUAAAUGAUUAUCGCUACAGGUACGAGGUGAUAGCCGAUUGGAGUACAGUAGGACAGAACAUGGCUUAUG